rnacentral:rRNA from 1 species
CUGGCGGCGUGCCUAAUACAUGCAAGUCGAACGGUCUUUCUAUGGAAGCUUGCUUCCACUGAGAAGAUAGUGGCGAACGGGUGAGUAACACGUGGGUAACCUGCCCAUAAGAGGGGGGAUAACAUCCGGAAACGGGUGCUAAUACCGCAUAGUUUUCUUGAUCGCAUGAUUGAGAAAGGAAAGACGGCCUUUGUGCUGUCGCUUAUGGAUGGACCCGCGGCGUAUUAGUUAGUUGGUGAGGUAACGGCUCACCAAGACGAUGAUACGUAGCCGACCUGAGAGGGUGAUCGGCCACAUUGGGACUGAGACACGGCCCAAACUCCUACGGGAGGCAGCAGUAGGGAAUCUUCCGCAAUGGACGAAAGUCUGACGGAGCAACGCCGCGUGAGUGAAGAAGGUUUUCGGAAUCGUAAAACUCUGUUGUCAGAGAAGAACAAGUUGGAGAGUAACUGCUCCAGCCUUGACGGUAUCUGACCAGAAAGCCACGGCUAACUACGUGCCAGCAGCAGC